CACAGGUGCAGCACCAAUGAUUCUCACAGGAUUCUGCGAAGGAAACAGUGCUAUGUUAGGGAAUUAACAUAACUGUUUACAAGAUCCAUAACCAUUCUGCGUGUUAAACUUAAUGAGGAUUUAGAAAAUACUACAGGGAUCACUUGAUGGAUUAUUAUGCUAAGUAGUAAACAGCAUUUGACAAGAAUUCAAGCAAAAAGAAAGAGACCAUCUUGAAACUUCUGUCCCUUGAACUGCUAACAAUUCAAACUGAGAAUUCUGGCCAGUGUAUUAAGAAGAGAUUCCUUUACAUCCUUGUCUAAUAUGCUUUAAAAUUCACAUGAUACCUGUUGCCAAUAACGUGUAUCUUUCACGUCAAAAAAUAACAAAAGUACAAAACAAGAUAUAAAAUCUACAUAGAGGUCUACUUAUGCAUGCAAAAGGAGGAAAGAUGUAUCCUUCUUGGAGCUACCAGAUGCUUUUGUAUCUUCUUGUAGACAUUUUAUUUUACUACUUGGACAGCCUAAUAGAAGAGUCUAGCCUACUGUUAACUUGUUAGUUAGUUCUCAAGUAGAUGCUUACUGGGGUUUUGUGAAUGUUUAUCAGUGUCAUAAUAUGAAUGCAGGACAAGGAGGCUUCUCGCACUUCUUUUCUGUGGCAGAUGCUCAAGAUUAUGAUGUUAAA
rnacentral:lncRNA from 1 species